AGAAAGCGCUGACAAAAACAGAACAUCUAAGGAGAAAAAUCACAAAAAUGCAUGUGUUUCUAUAGAUUUCUUCAAAAAACAUUAAAAAACAUCAAAAGUAGUUUGAAAUUGUGAUCAGAAAUUAAGCUGCCAGUGGCCCAACGACAAGCAUCCCUGCUCCGAUCAGCCGGUGUUUUUGGAGAGCCCAGAAGGCACUGGAGUUGCGGAAUGUUCCAGGUUAAUGGAAUCGAUCCGGCUGGAUUUUUUACAUUGCGGACAUCUCCAGCUUUGUGCACUCGAGGAAGAAUGUAGAGCGAAAAUUAGCACAACCUCAAACUGUCCCCAUUUGCCCCGGAAGAAUCACCUCGAAGUUCAAAUUGCACGCGCACAACGGGUUGAAGAAAAAAGUAGUUUGAUGCUUCCGAGCGUAUUCUGCGAUGUCGACUUCCGGAUGCCCGAGGUCGGUAUGGCCAAUUGCGUACGCGGCGUUGGUUGGCUGACCGGUGGAAGUCAGAUGCUGAUACUGAAGAUUACGGCCGCUUCCGAAGGGUCCAGCUGAUGGGAAUACGUUUGCAGAAAAUGAGUGGUUCCGCGUUGGAGUGGAUGCGCUAAAAAGCAAUGGAACCAUCUGGAGCAUUUGUCUUUUUAAUUAUUGUCAGCUACGCUUCCGUCCUUCGCAAAAUCUUGACGUGCAAUGAAAAAAACAGCUCGGUCGGCAACACUGCUUGCUGCGAUCGACUCACCAACGCGACACCCCUCGUCGCCGCCUGCGACGACGCAAGGAACGAUCGAGAAGGUGGGAAUUGGCGCGCAAAGGAAGCGCGCGCAAACGAGCAGAAGGAGGAGAGAAAGAGAGAGAGAGAAAAGUGGAGAUUUUUCACUCCAGUUCGCAACGCGUGCUUAUGUAAAUAGUGAUCAGAAAUAUAAAGUUUUUGUUAGGAAAAGUGAA